rnacentral:lncRNA from 1 species
GUGGAAGUCAGGGAAGCUCGCAGCCUCUAGUAGGCAACUUCCUGCCUCUGAAAUUUCUAUCUGGCAAACUAUGGGGCUUCAGUGGAGGAAUUGUGUUGGAGGUCUCAUUUGAAUUGCUGUUUUGACAGCUUCUUUUUCUGAUAAUAGUGUAAAAAAAAGGAAAAUAAAAUCUAAUUUGCAUUUCUAUGAUAAAAUGUUCUCCUGGCAACCACCCUCUCCCUUCUUUAAGUGGUUAAGAGUUUGAGAGCCUAGCCAGACCCUCCUUCCCCAGAGCAGCUGACAGCUGUGGGGCUCCAGUUACUGCCAGAAAGGCCAUGUCUCUGCUCCACCCACAGGAGAGAGUUCUGCACAGUGAAAAUAACGUUAUCUACGUCCUUAAGUUCAACCUUGCCUUUUCCCACACCAGGACCUAAGUACAGUACUCAGCAAAUAGAACAAAAUAAAAUCCUCUUUAAAAAAAUAAAUUUUUUUUUUCCAGAAAGAGCUUCAUAGAUUUCCAAACUCACAAACUAGUUGCUAUGGCCAUGGAAGAGUUGAGACUUUGAGAAGUGGUUUUGUUUCAAAUUUGUCAGUUCCCCUUCUAUAAAAGCACUUUUGUGUAGAGUAUUAAAAAUCACUAGUAUCGGGUCUCCUGAGCUCAGGGACUAAGCACUGGAAGGAGGGACUAAAGUCCAAGGCGAGCAGGAGUAAAACAUUUACACCAAAAUAACCCUCCUUACCAUCCAGCCAGCUCCUGUGGCCUCAUCCUGCAUCCCAGCUCCUGUGGCCUCAUCCUGCAUCCCAGCUCCUGUGGCCUCAUCCUGCAUCCCAGCUCCUGUGACCUCAUCCUGCCUCCCUGCAUCCCAGCUCCUGUGGCCUCAUCCUGCAUCCCAGCUCCUGUGGCCUCAUCCUGCAUCCCUGCAUCCCAGCUCCUGUGACCUCAUCCUGCCUCCCUGCAUCCCAGCUCCUGUGGCCUCAUCCUGCAUCCCAGCUCCUGUGGCCUCAUCCUGCCUCCCUGCCUCCCAGCUCCUGUGACACCAUCCUGCUUCCAUGGCAUUUCUCUAAGAAGGAAGAUAAAAAAGAGCAAACUCCCACCCAGCAGCCAGUUUCCCAUAUAGCUCUGCUGCACCCCACCCCACUUCCUAAUGCUGUUCGGUUUAUUGCUUUUAACAAAACAAAUUUAUAGUGAGUUCCAGGCCCUGGUGGCUUCCUUUCCUCCCCCUCCCUAUCCUGUUUUACACAGCACUGCUCAUGUAAGAGUCUGUUUCUCAAAUGCACGGCAUUCCUCAGGUGGAGGAUGGGCAAGAAUGUUCACUUUUUAAAACUUACUGGGUAGAAAAAUCCCAAACCAGGAUAUGUGUGUGUCUGUAUGUUUGUCUUAUUUUCUUCUCAUUUGACCCUCACCAUUCCAGUCUGUCCCCUUUUAUACCUGAUGUAGAAAAGGCAGAACUGAAUCUGGAAAGCAAAUUGUUGUAUAUAGUUGCGGUAACAAUCACGAAGAGAGCUGGGCUGUCCCCUCAGUAAUUCAUUUUAAAUGAAAAAAAAUUGGUUGAAAAUGAAAUCCAUGCCUUGGCCAGCUGAAAUGGCCUUCCUCCAUCGCCACUGAGGCUACCCUUCCCUGGGUCCUCUGCCGACCAGGCAUGUCUCCAUCCAGCAGAUUUCAUCUGUUUGCUGCCAUUUGCGUUUCAAUAAAGUUAUCUCCUGUAUUGUC